rnacentral:rRNA from 1 species
UACGUAGGGUGCAAGCGUUAAUCGGAAUUACUGGGCGUAAAGCGUGCGCAGGCGGUUAUGUAAGACCGAUGUGAAAUCCCCGGGCUCAACCUGGGAACUGCAUUUGUGACUGCACAGCUGGAGUGCGGCAGAGGGGGGUGGAAUUCCACGUGUAGCAGUGAAAUGCGUAGAUAUGUGGAGGAACACCGAUGGCGAAGGCAGCCCCCUGGGAUGUGACUGACGCUCAUGUACGAAAGCGUGGGGAGCAAACAGG